GGGAGAAUGGGGCAGCCGUUACGACUUAUCUCUGGAAAAACAGCUUUGUCUUGUAUAAAAUGGCAUUGCUCAGGUUCUAACUCUAGGCCAGCUGUAGCACACUGGGCAUGGGGUGGCAGGGCUGG